rnacentral:rRNA from 1 species
AACGUGCGCUGGCGGCAGGCUUAACACAUGCAAGUCGAGCGCCCCGCAAGGGAGCGGCAGACGGGUGAGUAACACGUGGGAACAUACCCUUUACUACGGAACAACUCCGGGAAACUGGAGCUAAUACCGUAUGUGCCCUUUGGGGGAAAGAUUUAUCGGUAAAGGAUUGGCCCGCGUUGGAUUAGCUAGUUGGUGGGGUAAAGGCCUACCAAGGCGACGAUCCAUAGCUGGUCUGAGAGGAUGAUCAGCCACAUUGGGACUGAGACACGGCCCAAACUCCUACGGGAGGCAGCAGUGGGGAAUAUUGGACAAUGGGCGCAAGCCUGAUCCAGCCAUGCCGCGUGAGUGAUGAAGGCCUUAGGGUUGUAAAGCUCUUUCCCCGAUGAAGAUAAUGACGGUAGUCGGAGAAGAAGCCCCGGCUAGCUUCGUGCCAGCCGCCGCUGUAA